rnacentral:rRNA from 1 species
GAACGCUGGCGGCAUGCCUAACACAUGCAAGUCGAACGAGACCUUCGGGUCUAGUGGCGCCCGGGUGCGUAACGCGUGGGAACCUGCCCUUAGGUUCGGAAUAACUCCCCGAAAGGGGUGCUAAUACCGGAUAAUGUCUUCGGACCAAAGAUUUAUCGCCUUUGGAUGGGCCCGCGUUGGAUUAGCUAGUUGGUAGGGUAAAAGCCUACCAAGGCGACGAUCCAUAGCUGGUCUGAGAGGAUGAUCAGCCACACUGGGACUGAGACACGGCCCAGACUCCUACGGGAGGCAGCAGUGGGGAAUAUUGGACAAUGGGCGAAAGCCUGAUCCAGCAAUGCCGCGUGAGUGAUGAAGGCCUUAGGGUUGUAAAGCUCUUUUACCCGGGAUGAUAAUGACAGUACCGGGAGAAUAAGCUCCGGCUAACUCCGUG